AUAUUGGUCAAUGGACGCCAGUCUGAACCAGCCAUGCCGCGUGCAGGAAGACGGCUCUAUGAGUUGUAAACUGCUUUUGUACGAGGGUAAAUUCAGGUACGUGUCACUGUUUGAAAGUAUCGUCCGAAUACGGAUCGGCUAACUCCGUGCCAGCAGCCGCGGUAAUACGGAGGAUCCAAGCGUUAUCCGGAUUUAUUGGGUUUAAAGGGUGCGUAGGCGGUUUGAUAAGUUGGAGGUGAAAUGUUAGGGCUUAACCCUGAAACUGCCUCCAAUACUGUUGGACUAGAGAGUAGUUGCGGUAGGCGGAAUGUAUGGUGUAGCGGUGAAAUGCUUAGAGAUCAUGCAGAACACCGAUUGCGAAGGCAGCUUACCAAACUAUAUCUGACGUUGAGGCACGAAAGCGUGGGGAGUAAACAGG
rnacentral:rRNA from 1 species